GAGCCGCCGAAGGCAGGUUUGAUAACUGGGGUGAAGUCGUAACAAGGUAGCCGUAUCGGAAGGUGCGGCUGGAUCACCUCCUUUCUAAGGAA
rnacentral:rRNA from 2 species